CCACGUUUGAAACAUUAUAAAAGUUAAAAAAUGUUGAAGCAAAGCCUAUGCUCAAUCGAAAACAUAUCUAAAACCAAGUAAAAUAUGUUAUUUGUAUGUUCAGCAUGUGGAAGAAUAUGAGUUUGAAUAUCAAGUCCAAUAUACCAAACAUGCUGGUAUCUUUUGGACUCAAUGAUUGGUCUUAUGUAUUCUCUAAAAAUAAUAUACCUUGACCUUGCCAAUAAUUAACUAGAAACUUUGAAUCUCUUUACAUUUACUAUAUAGGCAUAUUACAUCAAGCUUGGCCAGUGUAAUUUCAAGGUCUUUACUCUCUAUCCAUGUCCCUCCCCUCUCUAUCUAUGUCCCUUCCCAGGAGGAAUAACGAGGGUUGGUGCUGGGUUUUGGAUGUCAAAUCUCACGAACGUUCUAUCACUCCACAUAUGUUUAUCGCAAAUGAUUUACCAACAACUAGUAACCUUUGUUUCCACGAAUUCGAGCUCGCAUGUCAACCUGGAAGAAAGGGGGGAAAUAUACAUGGUUAGAGUAGGAGCACAACUAAGUUUAGCAAUAAUAACUCAAGAUCCAGGUCAAGACAGAAAUCAUCACGAAAGAAGUAAUUUAGUUUACGAGAAUCUUCAGGAAACAUACAACUUGGUCAGCCUUUUCAUAACCAAAAAUUGCACAAAGAAAGAAUAGCAAUUUACUUGUUUUUACAUUUUUACUCGAGGCAAUCUCAUAAGAUGAACCUUCAAACAUGACCCAAAAAACAAAUAAAUGCAGUUUCCUUACUUUCCAGCACCAUGCAUGGUAAAUGAUCAGCAUAACGGAGAAUGCGGAUCAGUGAUAGCGUUCACUUCAACUUUUAGGUUGUAUCUUAUGCUAAUGAUUGGGAUCCAGGGAAGAAACAAUUGUUGAGAUAAAUUACGUCGGUAACGAAAAAUUGACUAUGCUAGUCAAACUUCUAUCCUACGAUGCACAGACACGGAUACAUAUGGGUGACAUGAGACGUGUCAGAUACAUUGACACACAAUUUUUCAAAAAAGUAUUAACAUGACAAGUCAAUUAAAUUCUUUAAAAUUCUUCAUUUAUAUAGUAUAUAUUUUGUUUUACACUUCUUAUUAAUUUUUCUUGUUAAAAUCUUUUAAAUAUAAGUAUUUAUUUGCUAUUUAUUAAUAACUUCAAGUUAAAAAUCUAUAAUAUUUCUAAUUAAAAAAGAAAAAUAAUUAAGGUGUAGUGUCAGAGAAAUAUUAGUAUCCAACACGUGCCGGAUAUAAAUAUGUUACUGUAGUUGAAGUGUCCGUACAACGGAGCUUUUACUGAUUAAUUAGCUUUUUUCAACAAAUUUACAAACGAAUAAAACCUAAAUUCGCUAGAAGUAUAACCAUCACUGCAAUGAAUGAAAUACAUAUUUAACAUGUAAUUAAGAAUCAACUAAAGGCAGAAGAAUAGUAAGCUACUGACAGAGUAAUUUUCUCUAAUACAAUAAGUUUUCUGAAAUAGAAAUUCCAACAAAUAAUGCUCUGAAUGUGUGGAUGUGCAACAGUGUUCAUUUCCAGGACAUGAUGUUCACCUCAUCAUAUGAUAUUGAUUUAG
rnacentral:lncRNA from 1 species